rnacentral:lncRNA from 1 species
UCGUGAAGGCAAGACUGUGCCUUAGAGGGUUCUCCAUCAAGAUGAGAUCAGGAUGAGAUCAGUUUGCUUGGUUUCCUCAGAUGCAAUACAGGAGGAAUAAUAGGGCUUAAUGAAUUUAGCCAGAAGCUUAACCAUCAUUACCCAGGUCCAAUAGCGAAGUGAACUGCCUAUUUAGUCACAGCGCAAUCUCCAAAGCUGGUUAGGGGCGCCAACUUUUGGGCUGUCAAUCCUGUCCACAGGGGUAGGUUACUACAGUAUUUGGUUUGGACUACACAAUCCUCCUUGGUGUCCUUGCCUAAUUGCAUCAGGAGUUAAUAUCGGACCAAAACCUUCAUAUAAAAUUGUAUCUCCCAGGAAUUUAGGAUUGAGUCCAAGAGAGUUCAAUUAGCAUCUUGGUAUUAAUAUCUUGAUGUGGUUAAAUAGAAAUCCCGGAAUGGACAGUUGGCAAUUUGCCAUCAUGAGACACUUAAUCAGAAUGCACACACGUUAACACACAUGCAGAAGCACACGUGUACACACAUGUCCACACACUGAUGCACAGAUGCAGAAUUCGGGGACACAGUAGUCGUGCCCCUGAUCCCUGUCUGGGUCCUGGCUGUGUUUCUGACCUUAGGUUUGGUGUUUGGUUUCGGUUGUUAUCAUUGCUAAACUAGGUCAUCAUUUCUGCUUCUCAGAACCCGAGAAUCCUAAGCAAUCCCGUUCAGCAAGGACAGACUGCUCGGAAGGCAGGGCACGUGCGGUGAUACCCUGACGGGUCCAGUUAACCCAGGUCCACUCCUCAGAACUGAAUUUAAAUUCCCACCUGCUCGGCAAAUGGGUCAUAAACUUUUCUCAUCUCGAUCCCCCUCAAGGCAGAAAGACACCAGUUUUUAAGAGCCUCAGCAGUUGGCUUCCCUUCGUUAUUGUCUUUCCCAGAUGCCAGAUAAGCUUGCUCCCGUCUGGGGGCAGAAGAGACUUGGAAAGAUGAGGUGCAGCCACCGGCCAGUGCCCAGGCGAGGUCUGCUAGCUGAAUUCAUCCCUGUGGAGGUGGGUCUGCUUCGUCUGUGACAUAGCAUGGUUUGACGUCCCUGGUGGCUCAGACGAUAAAGUGUCUGCCUACAAGGCGGGAGACCCAGGUUCAAUCCCUGGGUCGGGAAGAUCUCCUGGAGAAGGCAAUGGCAACCCACUCCGGUAUUCUUGCCUGGAAAAUCCCACGGACAGAGGAGCAUGGUAAGCUACAGUUCAUGGGGUCGCAAAGAGUCGGACACAACUGAGCAACUUCACUUUCACUUUAGCAUGGUUUGGUAUCUGCCUGCCUGGCUCAAGUCAUAUAUGAUGUCUAGCUGAUACACGACAAUGCAUAUGUACACUUUGUAACCGUAAAGAGAGGGUGGACUCUAUUGAAGGAUUUCCAAAUAUCCACUGUCUCCAGUUCAGGACUGUGGUCACUGUCAUUAGUGGGUGAGAAAGAGCAGGCAGCAUUC